rnacentral:misc_RNA from 1 species
AAGUCGUAACAAGGUUUCCGUAGGUGAACCUGCGGAAGGAUCAUUAUAGAAACAGAGGGGGCCUGCGCUUAAGUGCGCGGCUGCCACACUGACACACCGUGAGGACAGUAGAACACGAAUUUACUUCUGAACAAAACACCGACAAACGAUUUAUUUUUUUAAUACAAGCAGUCAGCAAGAUUUCUUAAUUGAAAACAAACUAAUUAAAACUUUCAACAACGGAUCUCUUGGUUCUCGC